rnacentral:misc_RNA from 1 species
GCGCUGUGUCACUCCGACGUGGAUGACUCAUUUGACGACGGGAUUGGCCGGCGACUCGACGGCUGGGCAGCGCGCGAUCUUGAUGUCGGUACGAUCGUCAGCCUGGCGCCCAAUCUGCAGCCGUUCGUCGACCUGCUGGCAAUCGUCCAUCCGGGCAUCGAUGCCGAUGACGUGCGCAGCGUCCUGCGAAGCUGGGGGCCGGGCAAGUUCGAUGCCGAGCUCAUCCUUGACGGCAAGGCGACCCGGCCCGACGGGAAGACGGCCGCGACGCUGAUCCCGCCCGCGUUCGGCCUGGCGGGUGUCAAUCUGCACACCUGGACGGGCUGGGGAUCGGUGACGCACUGGAACGCUUUCGUUUCCAACCUCGAGAUGCAUGGCCAGGGCACGUUCUACGACCCGCGCCUCAACGACGCCG